GAUGAACGCUGGCGGCGUGCCUAAUACAUGCAAGUCGAGCGGACAGACGAGGAGCUUGCUCCUCUGACGUUAGCGGCGGACGGGUGAGUAACACGUGGAUAACCUACCUAUAAGACUGGGAUAACUUCGGGAAACCGGAGCUAAUACCGGAUAAUAUAUUGAACCGCAUGGUUCAAUAGUGAAAGACGGUUUUGCUGUCACUUAUAGAUGGAUCCGCGCCGCAUUAGCUAGUUGGUAAGGUAACGGCUUACCAAGGCAACGAUGCGUAGCCGACCUGAAAGGGUGAUCGGCCACCCUGGAACUGAGACACGGUCCAGACUCCUACGGGAGGCAGCAGUAGGGAAUCUUCCGCAAUGGGCGAAAGCCUGACGGAGCAACGCCGCGUGAGUGAUGAAGGUCUUCGGAUCGUAAAACUCUGUUAUUAGGGAAGAACAAAUGUGUAAGUAACUAUGCACGUCUUGACGGUACCUAAUCAGAAAGCCACGGCUAACUACGUG
rnacentral:rRNA from 1 species